rnacentral:lncRNA from 1 species
AAAAUAUCUCUCUCGACAUAGCACACCAAACAGUCGGUGAGAAAGUCAUCUCCCAUCUUGUUGCGCAAAUUUGUCUUAACAAUAUUCAUCGCAGAAAAUACUCGUUCCACACUAGCAGUCGCAACAGGCAAAACUAAAGCCAACUUGAUAAGAAGAUAUACUAAAUGAAAAGUAGUGUGAUAUCCCACCUCAAUCCUAAGUUAUAAAAAAAAAUUACUUUUUUUUUCUUCCCCUUCCUUCUUCUUCUCAGCGCACCUCGGACCCCCGGACUUCCCGAAUUUCAAG